GUCAAACWUUUAUAGGUUGGAGAGAUAAAAUGGUAUAUAAACAUUUCUAAAUUCUUUUCCGUGGUGAAAUAUACCUUAUUACUCUCCUUAAAUUAUGUACAAUUACAAAAACGCCACCAAUAAACAAGGAUUAGAGACCCUUCUAUAUUGUCGGCUAUUAUUAUAUACGGAGUAGUACAACUUUGAUAGUUAAAACUUAAACAACAUGGCGGUAAUUUUUAUUUAGGGGAACUUACUUAUUAAUUGAUAACCACCGAGGUCCUACAACUUAAGGUAAAUCUUGUAUGCCGUCGUCGUCAGAUAAUACUUUAUGUAUUAUCAUAAAAACAURUUAUUUAAAAGACAGAUCAAGGUGCAGACAACCCUUAUGAUUAAAGCGAGUUACAAUUAAACUUUCURGCUUUUAUCUUUAAGAAUAUCAGGUAAAGGGCGGACUUAAAAGUAAUAAUUUUUACUAUAAUUUUAUGAUUUUCAAGAUKGCGUUACAA
rnacentral:rRNA from 1 species